rnacentral:rRNA from 1 species
UACAGAGGUCCCAAGCGUUGUUCGGAUUCAUUGGGCGUAAAGGGUGCGUAGGCGGCGCGGUAAGUCGGGUGUGAAAUCUCGGGGCUUAACUCCGAAACUGCAUUCGAUACUGCCGUGCUUGAGGACUGGAGAGGAGACUGGAAUUUACGGUGUACCGGUGAAAUGCGUAGAUAUCGUAAGGAAGACCAGUGGCGAAGGCGGGUCUCUGGACAGUUCCUGACGCUGAGGCACGAAGGCCAGGGGAGCAAACGGG